UCAAUGCCGCAACUUCGCUCUUUGUUGUUUUUCUCCAUUCCAAAUUUCCCUUAGCUUCGUCACCGACAAUUUUCCUUUGUCAUCUUCCUCGUCUAUGUUCAAACCCUGAAAAUUUUAAAUUUUUAACCUUCAAUUCUACACAAAAAACUCCAUUUAUGGGUUAGAAUCUGAAUAUAUAUGUAUAUCCCAGAAAAGGAUAUUUGGGGUGAAAAUGCACACGCUGAAGGAUAAAAGUUUGCGGGAAAUCUUUCACGUUUAUUUGCAGAUUCACCGUCUUCUCCACCAGAUCUUUCUCAGGCCAAAUGGUACACCAAAGGGUCAAAAUCUUUGUCUUCAAUUGUUUCUUACAUCAUCCCUUCACUAAGCUGUGUAGAGUCUAAAUUGAACUAUGAUGGAACUAAUCUAAAGCCGGUUCAGUCGCAUCCCGUUGGAUGGAAAAAUUACAGAUUCGAGAAGCUUCAUGAAGUUCCGAAUAGCGGUAACGAAUACACCACUACUUGUGCGACCGAAGAAUCAAGAAAAGCUUAUGAAGAUAAGAAGAAAAUUCGGAUUCAUGAUGACGAUAAGCUAAUGGUUGUUAAGCUUAGUAAGGUUCACUUUUCUGCAAACGGCAGUACUGAUUCUGAAGAAUUUCAGGUAGCAAGAGAAGAACAGAGUCCAGUGAAGGCUGCACCAAAACUUUCUGAUGAAUAUGUAUUCAUUAAUUAUGAUUUGUACGAGUUCUUAAUGUGUUCCCUUCCCAAUAUCGUUAAAGGCUGUCGAUGGAUGUUGUUGUAUAGUACGUUGAAGCACGGUAUAUCACUUUGAACACUAGUUCGUAAGAGUGCUGAGCUUCCUGGCCCUUGUUUGCUGAUUAUUGGAGAUAAGCAAGGAGCCGUCUUUGGUGCGAUGUUAGAAUGCCCUCUGAAAACUACACCGAAGAGAAAAUAUCAAGUACGCGACCGGCUUGUUUAAGCUUUGAACUUGUUUUGUUUACAUGAUGACACGAUUUCACUUUUGGAUUUGUCGCAUGUUUGCACUAUGCUUUCCCAUGCCCUUUCUUUCCUUAGUUUUACCAUUUUUAGCUUUAUUUCUCUUUGUUUUUAUGAUAGAGAAUUUAACCAGACGUUUGUAUUCACAACCAAAUAUGGUGAACCAAGGUUAUUUAGACCCACCGGUGCAAAUCGUUAUUAUUUUAUAUGUAUGAAUGACAUGUUGGCAGUCGGAGGCGGUGGCAGCUUUGCUUUGAGCUUCGACGGAGAUCUGUAAGUUGCUCAUUUGACGAUUUCUCUUUCUAGUCUACCAAAAUAGUUCCCUUCAUUGAGAUUUUAUUCUCUUUACAAUAGUUUAAGUGGAACAAGCGGACCUUGUGAAACGUU